rnacentral:rRNA from 1 species
GAUCCUGGCUCAGGAUGAACGCUGGCGGCACGCUUAACACAUGCAAGUCGAACGGAGAAUUUUGGUUACUGAGAAUUCUAGUGGCGGACGGGUGAGUAACACGUGAGCAACCUACCUCAGAGAGAGGGAUAGCUUCUGGAAACGGAUGGUAAUACCUCAUAACAUAACUGAAAGGCAUCUUUUGGUUAUCAAAGAUUUAUCACUCUGAGAUGGGCUCGCGUCUGAUUAGAUAGUUGGUGAGGUAACGGCUCACCAAGUCGACGAUCAGUAGCCGGACUGAGAGGUUGAACGGCCACAUUGGGACUGAGACACGGCCCAGACUCCUACGGGAGGCAGCAGUGGGGAAUAUUGCACAAUGGGGGAAACCCUGAUGCAGCGAUGCCGCGUGGAGGAAGAAGGUUUUCGGAUUGUAAACUCCUGUCUUAAAGGACGAUAAUGACGGUACUUUAGGAGGAAGCUCCGGCUAACUACGUGCCAGCCGCUGC